GUGGUCGUGGCCGAGUGGUUAAGGCGAAUGACUAGAAGUCCAUUGGGGUCUCCCCGUGCGGGGUUGAAUCCUGCCGACUACG
rnacentral:tRNA from 1 species